rnacentral:lncRNA from 1 species
CCAUCCUUGUCUUGUUUAUAUAAAGCUUCACCAAUCGUCGUAUAAAGUAUACAUUUUAAUAUUAAGCAUCAUUUAAGCUUUUUAUUGAAAUUGGAUGGAAAGGUUUGAAAUAUCAAAUAUUGAAUUAUUUCACUAUACUCCAAAGUAAUUACAUCUAUCACAAAUAAUUCUGUAUUGGAUAGUGCAUCGUUAAUGGGUUCUUACUCAAUAUAUUGGAUAAUUAAGAUAAAUGGUCCACAUUGGAAUGUGAUUUUUCUGGUCUUAUCCAAAUAGUAAAGUCAAAUUUCUGCAAGAAUAAAAUCCAUCAUACAAUAC